GAAGCAAGCCAGACCGCCGCUGGUGCGAUCGUGGAAACACGGCACUGGAGGAAGGUCCGGACUGCAUAGAGCGGCGUAGCAGCUAACGGCUGCCCGGCGAAAGCCGAGGAUCAGAGCAACAGAGACGAGUCGGACCAGGUCUGGGACGGGUGUUCUGUUCGGACGGGGCGAAAGCCCCGAGCCGGACAGCCUCCCGAACCAGGCAAAGCCUGGUUCGGGUGAAACGGGCAAUCUCUACGCGCAGCAACACCAAGUAGGCCAACGUCGAUGCGGCUCGCAGAGUUGGCGGGUAGGUGGCACCGAGCCGGGCAGCGAUGCCCGGCCCAGAGGAAUGGCGGUCACGCGGGCGAUCCGAAAGGAAGACCGGCGCACAGAAUCCGGCCUAUCGGCUUGCUUCACAC
rnacentral:RNase_P_RNA from 1 species